AAAACGUUAGUUACAAUUUCAAAAAAACCAUUCCUGAUAUCUUGCUUCUUGCUUCGUAGAUAGAAAUUGAGAGAAGAUUGUUUUGCAGAAAAGGAAAUUGUUAUCCUUGGCUUUCUAGGGCUGGUGAAGGAAUUGGGGCCAUUGAACAUCGAGUACUUUAACGGAGACAAUAAGUGAAGGACAAAGAAAGCAUUUUCAUUUUUUUGUGUGGAUAUAUGAACCGAAAUUACAAUUGGUGAGAAAGUGAUGUCUUUAGACGAUGCAGAACGUAUAAGUUAUGCAGAAGUAUAAAUUCUGCAAUUGAUUUUCAUGUCCUGUAAGUGUUCUGCAAUUGUUUUGCAUGUCCUGUAAGUGUUCUGCAAUUGAUUUGCAUGUUUAUUUUUUUGUGGCUAUAUGACUCGAUAUUGCUAUUUGUGAGAAAGUGAUGUCUGUAGACGAUGCAGAAUGUAUGGUUACAUUAUGUGAAGCAUGUGUUGCAGGAUACUAUUAAAAUCCCUGGCUUGUCUUGGUUGUGUGUAUGCUUGAAUUAGCGGACAACUUUUAGAAUGUUAUAGAAUCUGUAUAAAACUUACGUUUGGCAUAAGUCAAAUAUAAAAAAGAGAAUAGCGAUUUGGUAGGACAUUUAGAUAUGAGACAUGUCUGGUUAGUUGUAGAUAGUAGUGAAUAUCUAGUAUUAUUCAUACAUGUGUUUUUAUGUGAAUUAUGAAAAUGUAAUUGACUGAGAACUCUUCGUAAUGAGGCACUUGGAAUCUUACAUGGGAAUGCAGCAUCGUGGAAGAGUGGCCUUCGUCCUGAGAUGGAAAAUCAAAGCAGUGUCCUCCACAAGCUCAGAGUAAUAUAUGCACAAUGCUCACAUGGUCUGAGAACAAAAGAAGAUGGACCGUGCUUAAAAAGAUGGUGCAGUUUAGAACAAAAAAAUUGUGUGAAUAAUUCUGUAAUCAAUCAUGUUAUUGAUCCCACGUUCAUUGGUUCUUUUAGAACAAGUUGAUAUUUGAGUUGUUUGGAUUGAAUGGAAUGAUUUUAUUUAUUUCUAAACUCUUGUAAGGUUGACAAUGUCAAUGGUUUAGCAGGAUUUAUAUUAAUUAGUAGAAGGCUGUGUUGUUUCUGUGA